GCAUUAAGAAUGGCUAAAAGAGUAGGUACAGCAGUAACACUUGCAAAAUAUUCUACCAUAGAGAUAUUAGAUAAAAGAAAGGCAGUACUGCAUCUGAUCUCAACAAUAGAAUCUUCUACCAUUGAAUCCUCACCCUCGACCAUCUCAACUUUGGCAGCCAGAGUUGGGCACUGUGCAGGAAACAACGUAAUUGGAUUUAAUCCUGCAAUGAAAAGGUGAGUUUUUGAGACAUCAGAAAUUUUGGAUUCUUGGAUGCUCUCUGCUUUUUCGUCAAUGAGAAACAUUGAGUAAUAACGGGAACUGUAAGGAAAUUUAGCAAAAAUAGCA